GGUCAGGAUGAACGCUAGCGGCAGGCUUAACACAUGCAAGUCGAGGGGCAUCGGGAGUAGCAAUACUGCCGGCGACCGGCGCAAGGGUGCGUAACGCGUGAGCAACAUGCCCGUAUCAGGGGGGAUAAUCCAUGGAAACGUGGUCUGAUACCCCAUAGUAAUUAUGUAAGGCAUCUUAUAUAAUUUAAAGCUUUGGUGGAUACGGAUUGGCUCGCGUGACAUUAGCUGGAUGGUAAGGUAACGGCUUACCAUGGCUACGAUGUCUAGGGGUUCUGAGAGGAAGGUCCCCCCACACUGGAACUGAGACACGGUCCAGACUCCUACGGGAGGCAGCAGUGAGGAAUAUUGGACAAUGGAUGGAAAUCUGAUCCAGCCAUGCCGCGUGCAGGAAAGACGGCCCUAUGGGUUGUAAACUGCUUUUGUAUGGGAGCAAUAAGGGCUACGUGUAGUCCGAUGAGAGUACCAUACGAAUAAGCACCGGCUAACUCCGUGCCAGCCGCUGC
rnacentral:rRNA from 1 species